rnacentral:lncRNA from 1 species
AGAAGAGAACAUCUUCAUAGGAGAGGAGCUCUAGGAACUGAGAAUGCAGGAAAUUGGAAGAAAUAUACAUUAAUAGCCAAGAAUUUAGACAGGACUGGGGAGCCAGGAACAAACAUUUGAGAUGUUGGGCUUUUAAUGGAGUUGCCACGGAUGACAGCAUCAUGAGAAAUGAGGUUUAAAAAUGGAGGAUUGUUCGAGGAGGGAGGAGGGCUGAUCUGAAAGCCACAAGGAGGACAAAUGGAACACCUACCCCCACUACAGGCUGGAAGGAAACAUGGAUGAACAUGGCCAGGGAGAGAGGAAAAGGAUGAAAGAACAAGGUGCCUACCAUGGAGGAUGCAAAAGAAAUUUUUCCCCGAGAACUGUAGUCCCAGGUUAGGCAUGCUCCAGCAAAACUUUUUCUCAGAGUUAUCCCACUUCUCCUAUAUGCCAGGAAUCUCCUUAGGCCUGAAGCAUGCAGAAAGGUGCAUAAUUAGUCUUUGUUCAAUAGGUCAUCUUCUGGAGGUGAUGGGGCUUUACUUUAGGUCCAUAGACCCUGUUUACUAAAACCAACUUGUCACACUUCACACAUUUGGGUAUCCUUUAUUUCUAACUGGAAUUGUACUUGACUAGCAUUUUUGGAAUAAUUCUGUUGGCAGUAGUUCUUCUGAGUGAGUACUACAACAAAGUUGUAUAAGUCUAACCAUUUUAGAAUCUACUCUAACCAGAGUGUCAACUCCAACAAGAAAACCCCUAAAAGGAAAGAAAGAGCUGCCAACUAUUUGAUGGUUUGACAAAGUGUGGCUGUUUUUCUGGGCUGUGAUUUAUUUAAAUUUUGCAAGCCCUUAUCAUCUUGCAGGUUUUAGGCACUUUGGUGGUGAUUCAGAUAAGGUUAAAUGAGUUGCUUCCAAAACACAAGACUGUCGGGUGGAAAUACGGAAAGACUUAGUGCCAGGUUUUCUGAUAUUUGAACCAAUGCGCUGCCUCAGAGUUAUGGGAUUCAGGAGGAAUUAUUUGACCUCUUUGACCGGGUUUCCUCAUGGGAAACAUUUUGUUGAUGGUGAUUUGCUUGCCUCAUACAAGGAAUCAUGGAAAAAACAAUGUUAAAAACUUU